CAAAGUUGAUCGUGUUUAUGACGUCGAAUAUCGACGUCAUAAACACCAAACUUGAUCGUGUUUAUGACGUCGAAUAUCGACGUCAUAAACACCAAAG
rnacentral:miRNA from 1 species